rnacentral:rRNA from 1 species
GCCUAACACAUGCAAGUCGAGCGGAAACGAUACUAACAAUCCUUCGGGUGCGUUAAUGGGCGUCGAGCGGCGGACGGGUGAGUAAUGCCUAGGAAAUUGCCUUGAUGUGGGGGAUGACCAUUGGAAACGAUGGCUAAUACCGCAUAACGUCUACGGACCAAAGAGGGGGAUCUUCGGACCUCCCACGUUAGAACCCGGCCCCGUGGGAUUAGCUAGUAGGUGGGGUAAUGGCUCACCAAGGCAACGAUCCCUAGCUGGUCUGAGAGGAUGAUCAGCCACACUGGAACUGAGACACGGUCCAGACUCCUACGGGAGGCAGCAGUGGGGAAUAUUGCACAAUGGGGGGAACCCUGAUGCAGCCAUGCCGCGUGUGUGAAGAAGGCCUUCGGGUUGUAAAGCACUUUCAGUUGUGAGGAAGGCAGUAGUGUUAAUAGCGCUAUUGUUUGGACGUUAGCAACAGAAGAAGCACC